GACGAACGCUGGCGGCGUGCCUAAUACAUGCAAGUUGAGCGAUGAAGAUUGGUGCUUGCACCAAUUUGAAGAGCAGCGAACGGGUGAGUAACGCGUGGGGAAUCUGCCUUUGAGCGGGGGACAACAUUUGGAAACGAAUGCUAAUACCGCAUAACGACUUUAAACAUAAGUUUUAAGUUUGAAAGAUGCAAUUGCAUCACUCAAAGAUGAUCCCGCGUUGUAUUAGCUAGUUGGUGAGGUAAAGGCUCACCAAGGCGAUGAUACAUAGCCGACCUGAGAGGGUGAUCGGCCACAUUGGGACUGAGACACGGCCCAAACUCCUACGGGAGGCAGCAGUAGGGAAUCUUCGGCAAUGGACGAAAGUCUGACCGAGCAACGCCGCGUGAGUGAAGAAGGGUUUCGGAUCGUAAAACUCUGUUGGUAGAGAAGAACGUUGGUGAGAGUGGAAAGCUCAUCAAGUGACGGUAACUACCCAGAAAGGGACGGCUAACUACGUG
rnacentral:rRNA from 1 species